UACGUAGGGUGCGAGCGUUAAUCGGAAUUACUGGGCGUAAAGCGUGCGCAGGCGGUUUUGUAAGCCAGAUGUGAAAUCCCCGGGCUUAACCUGGGAAUGGCAUUUGGGACUGCAAGGCUUGAGUGCGGCAGAGGAGACUGGAAAUUCCUGGUGUAGCAGUGAAAUGCGUAGAUAUCAGGAGGAACACCGAUGGCGAAGGCAGGUCUCUGGGCUGACACUGACGCUCAUGCACGAAAGCGUGGGGAGCAAACAGGAUUAGAU
rnacentral:rRNA from 1 species